AGCGCUUUGGAGUAGUCAGGUCAUCUCGUCGGGCUCAUAACCCGGAGACCGGUAGUUCAAAUCUACCAGGCGCUACCA
rnacentral:tRNA from 3 species